rnacentral:rRNA from 1 species
GUCCACGCCGUAAACGAUGGGUGCUAGGUGUCGCGGGCUUUGACCCCUGCGGUGCCGUAGCUAACGCAUUAAGCACCCCGCCUGGGGAGUACGGCCGCAAGGCUAAAACUCAAAGGAAUUGACGGGGGCCCGCACAAGCGGUGGAGCAUGUGGUUCAAUUCGACGCAACGCGCAGAACCUUACCUGUGCUAGAAAGUGCAAGAACUUGGUUGAAAAAUCGAGGUGCUCUUCGGAGAACUUGCAGUUAGGUGCUGCAUGGCUGUCGU